AGCGGCAAUUCCUAAUCCUGAAUCAGGAAUCGUUGUAGAGUUCAGUGUCGAUUUCGGCACCGUGACAAUUGAAGGGUUGAAAGUGGCUAAUGGAUGCAUCCAGUUGGAGGUGAUACGCGAAGGCAGCGCAGCCUGGCAGGAGUGUGGGCAGUGUAUCGAGUCAGACCAGACGGUGAAGCUCUCUGAAUGGUGUGCUUCGCCACAGGAGCGAAGAAGACGAGCUGUAGGAGACUUUAUAGGUGUCCGUGCCAGACUUUGCAUAGAUGGCUUGUGCAGUGACGUAGCACCUGCCAAACAAGCAACACAAGUAGCAGAUCCACCUGCAGUGGCGAACAGCGGCUUUAACGAGGUCAUUGUUGGUGUCAGCGUUAUUUUGGGGAUUUUAUUCUUAGUAUUUUCAAUUGGUAUUGGCGUCUGCGCAAGAAGAAGGUCAAGGGAGCGGA